rnacentral:rRNA from 1 species
CGGACGGGUGAGUAACGCGUGAGAAUCUGGCUUCAGGUCUGGGACAACCACUGGAAACGGUGGCUAAUACCGGAUGUGCCGAAAGGUGAAAGGUUAACUGCCUGAAGAUGAGCUCGCGUCUGAUUAGCUAGUUGGUAGAGUAAAAGCCUAUCAAGGCGACGAUCAGUAGCUGGUCUGAGAGGACGAUCAGCCACACUGGGACUGAGACACGGCCCAGACUCCUACGGGAGGCAGCAGUGGGGAAUUUUCCGCAAUGGGCGAAAGCCUGACGGAGCAAUACCGCGUGAGGGAGGAAGGCUCUUGGGUCGUAAACCUCUUUUCUCAGGGAAGAACACAAUGACGGUACCUGAGGAAUAAGCAUCGGCUAACUCCGUGCCAGCAGCCGCGGUAAUACGGAGGAUGCAAGCGUUAUCCGGAAUGAUUGGGCGUAAAGCGUCCGCAGGUGGCAAUGUAAGUCUGCUGUUAAAGAGUCUAGCUCAACUAGAUAAGAGCAGUGGAAACUACAUAGCUAGAGUACGUUCGGGGCAGAGGGAAUUCCUGGUGUAGCGGUGAAAUGCGUAGAGAUCAGGAAGAACACCAGUGGCGAAGGCGCUCUGCUAGGCCGUAACUGACACUGAGGGACGAAAGCUAGGGGAGCGAAUGGGAUUAGAUACCCCAGUAGUC